ensembl:lncRNA
UCAAGGCGGGCUCUCCCAUCCUCCUCAGGAUGCUCUGGAGGGAGCCGGCAAGACACUCCUGGUCCCCACGCCUUCAGCAAAGUUCGCUCGCCCAGGCCCGGGCCUCAGCUGGUGGAGCCCAGGUACCAAGGGAGGACCCUCGAAGUUGGGACCCGGGUCCCUCCCCGCAUGGGGCCUGGCCAGCGCACUGUGGUGGAGGACAAUUUCAGUUCCUUCCCGGGGCUGGUGGCCUCUGCCCACUGCUGGGGUGGGGCAGCCACCGCGGAAGGAAGCUUGGCCUCGGACCCCAGCGGGGCCCAUCGUCCUCCCCUGCUGGUGGCCGAGCGAAGAGGGCGGGUCCGAGGACAGGGCUGGGUGCAAGAUGGCAGGUCCUGUGGGCACCUUCCUGGGAAGACUGUCCCUACGAUGUGUCGGGCACUGAAGACGGGGCAGAGAACAAAGCAGACAAGACUCCCUGCGCUCAGGGCCCCGCCUGCUCACAGGGGGGAGACUGGUGUCAUGGGCUGGGCAGUCCCCAAACCAGCCCGCUCCAGGCGCCAGCCACAAAGACGCUCCGCUGGUCACAGCAGCCAAGGCUGGAAACAACCUAACAUCCGUCAGCGAUGAAAGGACAAAGGAGGCGGCAUGUCCACACGGCGGGACAGGAUUCAGCCACAAAGGAACAGGGUACGACACGCGCUGGAACAGGGUCGGACCCUGAAAACGUGAUGCUCCGUGAACAGAGCCAGACUCCAGAGGCCACGUGCUGUGUGAUUCCACGCAUGGAAACAUCCAGAACACGUGAACCCCUGGAGACAGGGAGCAGACGGGUGGUGGCCGGGGCUGGGGGAGGGGACGGGGAGCGAGGCUGAUGGGGACGGGCUCUUACUUUGGGGUGAUGGAAACGUUCUCAAAUUCAACUGAGGCGGUAGCUGCACUACCUUGUGAACAGACUAAAUGCCACCGAUUGUCCACUUGCUUUUACUUUUGCUGGUGACUUUUUAAAUUUGGAAGCUGUAUCUUUUUUUUUAAAUCUAUUUUCAGCUUUAUUGAGGUGUAAUGGACGAACAAAAUUGUAACAUAUUUCCAGUAUCCACGUGACAAUGGGAUACGUGUCUGCACUGUGAAAGGGUUCCUCCCCUCUAGUUAAUUCACACGUUCAUCAUUCUAUACAGAUUUGUUUUGGGGAGAAUAUCGAAGUUCUGCUGCCUUUGCAAAUUUCAAUUCUAUAAUUCAGUGUUACCAACACGUCUCCAUGUUAUACGUUAUGUUCACUUUAAAAUGAUUUUUUAAUGUGAAUUUCACCUCAAUUAAAAAAUAAAUAAUAAGGAAUAAUAAUUUUUAAAAGAUGCCAGGGCCUUGCUCCGAUUUCUGCCUUUUUCGCCCAGGUCAAAUCUCAACUCUAGCAUGAGGGGCUCUGAGAGCCAAGACUCACAGACCUCUGGGAAGUUUUACCCACACCAAAGCCCAAAUGUCCUUGUACCUGGCAUUUUCCUCAACUGGCAAGCAUCUAGAUUAGGGGGAAAUCCCAGCUUGCCUUUCCUGGCUGAGGAGUUAUGGCAGCAUCAGGUAUAGCUGGAUCCAGGAGCUCAGCAGAUAUCAGAUAUCAUCAGGUACCUGUCUCUCUCCACGUCGUGGCUGUGGCCCCGCUUUCCUCUGUGCUGGCUUCACUAUCAGGCAGGCUCUAGAAUUCAACUGCUUCUCUCCACCUCCACUGCCUCUGCUUUGCUCUUAGCUACCAUCAUCUUUUGCCUGGACUACUGCAAUACCUUCCUCCCUGGUCUCCUGGGGCCUCUAC